GCAUCGGUGGUUCAGUGGUAGAAUGCUCGCCUGCCACGCGGGCGGCCAGGGGUUCUUUUUUUAUGCGGUUGAUGCG